rnacentral:sRNA from 1 species
UAAACUCAUCCAUAUCUAGGCUAGCUUUGUUUGAGGAUUUCUAUCACGGGAGUGAAUUGAUCUGUUGUUGAACAUAUUGUCUAGGGAUAGCUUAAUUGCGCUUGUUAACCAUUCGAAUAGGCUAGGAUACCACUCCAUUCGAUUACCCCAUCCUUAAGAAUUUCUCGUCUAUCUGAUUUCUCUGUUUUAUCGUUAACGCUUAAUCGUUCUCAUUGCCUGUUUCUUAGUUUUUGCAAUUACUCAACCAACUUACUCGACCACACCCAGUGUCCGACAACAGACUAUGCAAACGAGUAUAGUUGUCUCAUUUCCUGUCUAUUACUCGACCAACAUACUCGACCACACCCAGUGUCUUGCAACAGACUGUGCAGUCAAGUAUAGUUGUUUCAUUUCCUGCCUUUUACUCGAUCUAUUACUCGACCACAUCCUACUUCUGGCAUCAACCAGUUGUGGUCGACUGAUUUUAGUAAUUCUGUUAAAAUUUCUGUUUUCUACAUGUUCGCUUAGGAUUGUUAGAAACCUCAAAACCGUUAUUGCUUGGCUUCACUUAGUGACU